AGUGAACGCUGGCGGUAGGCCUAACACAUGCAAGUCGAACGGCAGCACAGUAAGAGCUUGCUCUUACGGGUGGCGAGUGGCGGACGGGUGAGGAAUACAUCGGAAUCUACUUUUUCGUGGGGGAUAACGUAGGGAAACUUACGCUAAUACCGCAUACGACCUACGGGUGAAAGCAGGGGAUCUUCGGACCUUGCGCGAUUGAAUGAGCCGAUGUCGGAUUAGCUAGUUGGCGGGGUAAAGGCCCACCAAGGCGACGAUCCGUAGCUGGUCUGAGAGGAUGAUCAGCCACACGGGAAGUGGGACCGGGUCCCAACUCCUAGGGGGGGCAGCAGGGGGGAAUUUUGGAAAAUGGGCGCAAGCCUGAUCCAGCCUUCCCGGGUGGGUGAAAAAGGCCUUCGGGUUGUAAAGCCCUUUUGUUGGGAAAAAAAAGCAGCGGGUUAAUACCCCGCUGUUCUGACGGUCCCCAAAGAAAAAGCACCGGCUAACUUGGU
rnacentral:rRNA from 1 species